GCAGCAUGGUCUUAGCUUGCUAAGGCCGAUGGCGACCGGCGCACGGGUGAGUAACACGUAUCCAACCUGCCGUCUACUCUUGGACAGCCUUCUGAAAGGAAGAUUAAUACAAGAUGGCAUCAUGAGUCCGCAUGUUCACAUGAUUAAAGGUAUUCCGGUAGACGAUGGGGAUGCGUUCCAUUAGAUAGUAGGCGGGGUAACGGCCCACCUAGUCUUCGAUGGAUAGGGGUUCUGAGAGGAAGGUCCCCCACAUUGGAACUGAGACACGGUCCAAACUCCUACGGGAGGCAGCAGUGAGGAAUAUUGGUCAAUGGGCGAGAGCCUGAACCAGCCAAGUAGCGUGAAGGAUGACUGCCCUAUGGGUUGUAAACUUCUUUUAUAAAGGAAUAAAGUCGGGUAUGCAUACCCGUUUGCAUGUACUUUAUGAAUAAGGAUCGGCUAACUCCGUGCCAGCAGCCGCGGUAAUACGGAGGAUCCGAGCGUUAUCCGGAUUUAUUGGGUUUAAAGGGAGCGUAGAUGGAUGUUUAAGUCAGUUGUGAAAGUUUGCGGCUCAACCGUAAAAUUGCAGUUGAUACUGGAUAUCUUGAGUGCAGUUGAGGCAGGCGGAAUUCGUGGUGUAGCGGUGAAAUGCUUAGAUAUCACGAAGAACUCCGAUUGCGAAGGCAGCCUGCUAAGCUGCAACUGACAUUGAGGCUCGAAAG
rnacentral:rRNA from 1 species